rnacentral:misc_RNA from 1 species
GAUGAAGAACGUAGCUAAAUGCGAUAAGUAAUGUGAAUUGCAGAAUUCAGUGAAUCAUCGAAUCUUUGAACGCACAUUGCGCCCAUUAGUAUUCUAGUGGGCAUGCCUGUUCGAGCGUCAUUAAGUCCACUUAAGCCCUGCUUAGUGUUGGGAGACUGCUCCAGCGGUGCUACCCUGUAGCUACCCUGCAGCUCCUCAAAGACAGCGGCGGAGUUGUGGUAUCCUCUGAGCUUAGUAACUUGUUCUAGCUUUCGAGUACACCACUUCCCCUGCCGUAAAACCCUUAAUUUUUAAUGGUUGACCUCGGAUCAGGUAGGAAUACCCGCUGAACUUAAGCAUAUCAAUAAGCGGAGGA